GAUGAAGAACGUAGCGAAUUGCGAUACGUAAUGUGAAUUGCAGAUUUUCAGUGAAUCAUCGAAUCUUUGAACGCACAUUGCGCCUUCUGGUAUUCCGGAAGGCAUGCCUGUUCGAGAGUCAUUAACAACCGUUUCGAUCCCUUUCUUUCAGAAAUUACAAAGAGGAAAAGGGUUUGGUUAUGGUGGAGGAGGGAAAGGGAGCGUUUAGCCUGUAAAAAAAGAGGCUGUGUUCCGCCUCCCCCCCAAAAUUGUACAGGCGGUCGUGUGCGCCCACGCAUCGAGGUGUUGUAAAAGCUGCCACGGCACUUUUCACCUGUGCAGUGCGAGAUUGGCCAGCCGGUUUAAAAACCCCUCCAAACAAUCAAAGGUUGACCUCGGAUCAGGUAGGGAUACCCGCUGAACUUAAGCAUAUCAAUAAGCGGAGGA
rnacentral:misc_RNA from 1 species